AUGGAUUUCCUGUGAUCGAAUUCCAGUUGUUGCUGUAAAAAUGUUGUACACGUCCGUUCUCCCUGAGUUAUUGUGAAGAACUCACCGUUCCCAUCACCAUCGUGCUGGACCCCAGAGGGGAAGGGACAAUCCCCAGGGUGAUCAGUGGAUGGGGAUCCCCACAAAGGGGCCGGAAGAGCCACCAGGUCCCAAGGGAGGAGGGGACAGCACUGAGGUCCCACAGCUCUUUGCCUCAGGCCCGGCCACCGUCCCCAGGGAAUCCAAGUAUUCUGUGGGACACAGAAGCACUUUCUCCCAGAGAUCCAAGCAGAAAAAAGAGCAGGAGAGGUGGCCAGCACCCCUUUCCUACUGAUUAGGGGGGUUAGACCGUCCCUGGCUGCGAAGCCUUGAAACCCGUUUCCCUCAGCCACACCUGGGAGUUCCUGGCAGAUCCCUGGGGCAGCAGCACACACAGGAAUGACCCGUGGGCUUGGGUGGAAGGAGAGGGAAAGAGGAUCCAGUUCUACCUCCCAGCAAGGGCAGGAUCUGUAAAACACAGAAAUAGCCCCAACUGGAUUUCUGCUUUAAUUAUUUGAAAUUUAGAUAAGCUCCCUGCUGUGUUACACAAACAACUGGUGAUAUGUCAGGUGCACUUCCUUGGAUAUGUACAGCGAGCCCAGUUCCCCCUGCAGCCCUCUCACCUUCCCUUGGAUUAGAGGAAAAGAGUUACAGGAUAAAAAACUGUAACCAGCCACGGGCUGUUCAAGCACUGUGUAAGUGUAGACAUUUAUUUUAAGACCAAUUUAGGCUCUUUUUGAAUGUCUUUCAGUUGCAUCUGUUUCCGUGGGUGAAAAAUCCUGGGAAAAGAUGUGACCAUCAUUUUACAGCCUGAACUACUAAAGCUUGAAUGUUGAAUGCUCCCUGGGUGUUCACAGACGGAGCCCGACACCAAAACAAUAAGGAGUAUGGAGUUAAGGUAAAACACAACUUUUAAAACAUUCUAAGAUAAAGCAGAAUUGUAACUUUGUGGAAUUCUUUCCAUGCUCUCUGCUGGAAACUCAGGGUGCAGGCUCAGGUUUAAGUGUCACAAGCUCUAAUUGCUUUUACAGGUUUUACAGUUUGGGCCACACUCAUUCAAGGAAUUUGGGAGCUGAGCUUAACGGAUUCCCAAGAGUUAACGAGAUUCCUCAAAUGCCAUGUGCUGACUUCCUAACCCAGCUAAGAGAAAUGCUGAAAAAAGAGCUGUUGCUGAGCUCCAGUUCUCGGAGCCAGAAUCCAAGGAGCCUCUAUUAUAAUCUUCCAGCUGAUUGAUCCGAUGGCUCUGGCGGCACUGCUGAUGUCCGGGGCACUCUGGAACAAGGCUCUGCUUUGACCCUUCCUGCUGGAAUGGUUCUGCUCCCUGUGGGCUGACAGGAAUUGUGUGUGUUUCCAGCCUUUGGGUGCAGACACUCCUUUGGGAAGGAAGGAUCCGUGUUCCUGUCUCGGCUGCAGUGAACAGCUCCCAGUGACUCUGUGAUGGAGCUCCCUGCAGUGCAGAGCAGUGGAUUUAACAGCCAGAGCCGUGCAGGCCCAUGUUCCCAGGACACACUGCAAUGCAGGAAUGUGGGUAAGUAAACAACUGUUUCAGUGGGAUUGUUCAAAGAUUGAGAUGUGCUGGAGGCAACUUCCGUGUCCACGGAGUCACUGCCCAUCAGAAGGUGGGGAACCUCCACUGACAGCUCAGGGAACGACACAACUGCAAUGAGAAGCCAGUACUCAACAGAGAUGGGGCAGGUUCCCUGUGUGUGUAGUACCAACAACCUACUCCUGGAACGGGUUGGUUGGAAGGGACCUUAAAGACCAGCUCGUUCCACCCCCUGCCAGGGGCAGAGGCACCUUCCACUAGCCCAGGUUGCUCC